rnacentral:rRNA from 1 species
UACGUAGGGCGCAAGCGUUGUCCGGAAUUAUUGGGCGUAAAGAGCUCGUAGGCGGUUUGUCGCGUCUGCUGUGAAAACCUAAGGCUCAACCUUGGGCUUGCAGUGGGUACGGGCAGACUAGAGUGCGGUAGGGGUGACUGGAAUUCCUGGUGUAGCGGUGGAAUGCGCAGAUAUCAGGAGGAACACCGAUGGCGAAGGCAGGUCACUGGGCCGCAACUGACGCUGGAGGAAGCGGAAAGCAUGGGGAGCGAACAGG